GUCGAGUGCACCUGGCCACUGUGAAAAAGGUGGAUGAGGUCAAGUCUUCUGUAAUAGUAGAAUGGCAUGAGAUGAAUGUGUGCCGAGGCAAAGAGGUUGAGGUGAGCGAGUUAUACACACUCAAUCAGGAGCUUUUUGAGCACAUCAAUGCUUUAAGCGACAAAACUCCUGAACCACCAGCUGCUGUUCCUGUUAAGAAAUAUGAUGGCCGCCUGCGCUCGUCCAGGAUUCCCGGUCCUGCCCUGUUUGCCUCCCGGGUUCCUGGCCGGCAGACAUGCAUGUUUGAGCCGCCUGCACCUGUAGCAGUCCCAACAAUGGAGUCUCCAAAGAAACAGGAGAUGUUUUUUCCUGAUGUCUCCUCAGCUUCAGACCUCAAAAGUUCUGGUUGGUAG
ensembl:lncRNA